AUUCCAUGAUGGGGACAUUCUAGGAUGUACUCUUGGAAGCGUUCUGAUGCUUCUGGAACAGAUUCAUCAUGUUGUUGCUGAAAACUUAUAAUCAUCCCACGGAGAGC
rnacentral:snoRNA from 1 species